rnacentral:rRNA from 1 species
AGAACGAACGCUGGCGGCAGGCCUAACACAUGCAAGUCGAACGCCGUAGCAAUACGGAGUGGCAGACGGGUGAGUAACGCGUGGGAACAUACCCCUCGGUUCGGAAUAACUCAGGGAAACUUGAGCUAAUACCGGAUACGUCCGAGGUCUUGAUCGACCUUGGAGAAAGAUUUAUCGCCGGAGGAUUGGCCCGCGUCUGAUUAGCUUGUUGGUGAGGUAAUGGCUCACCAAGGCGACGAUCAGUAGCUGGUCUGAGAGGAUGAUCAGCCACAUUGGGACUGAGACACGGCCCAAACUCCUACGGGAGGCAGCAGUGGGGAAUAUUGGACAAUGGGCGAAAGCCUGAUCCAGCCAUGCCGCGUGAGUGAUGAAGGCCUUAGGGUUGUAAAGCUCUUUACCCGGAAGAUAAUGACGGUACCGGAGAAGUAACGCCCGGACUAACUUCGUGCCAGCAGCCGC